AAUGAAAGGGGAGAAAAAAAGGGCACUGGCCCUUUAAAUCCCCUGGCAGUCACUGCAGCUGGAAAAGGGGAGUCUUGCAACAAUAGGGGGAGAUGCAAUGACAUAUGGCUGCCUUCCUCUUUGUCUGCCCCUCUGUUAUUAGAAACAGCAGUCAGCGAUCAGAGCACAGAUCCCCCGUAUUCAGAGGACAGGGUCUUUUUUGCCCACCCUGGCUCUUGGAAGCUGUGUGCAAGCUGUUCCAGAAACACAUCCAUGAUUGCCUGCCACGUGGCUGGGAGUGGGGGAUGGGUAGCUGCUACUGAGCUAAGAGCUGAAAUUGACCAAAAUCAACCUCAAUUUACUGUCCAAGUCUUUCUCUGGAAGUUGUAAGCCUUUAACAGACUUCAGAGUUCCAAUAUAGUUACAUUAGACAGAUUCUGCCAGUGCAACUGUUUUCUAGGUGGAGGGACUGAUUCCUCAUGCUUCCUACUCUGCUAUCUUCCCAGAAUCCUCCAGGGGGUGUUAGUUUCUGUCCUUAUCUGUUUGCCUUGCUCCCCCACUGUGCUCUUCCAGAGGGGAGGAUGAGUGUUGUGCUCUCAUCUCUGCUUGCCCCGGGUACAUCCUAAGUGCUUGGUACUUGUGGUAAAGGCUCAGUGAACUGGCCUUUCUUAAAAUUCCUGUUUGUUCCUCUUCUCUCACAGUCCCAUCAGCUGCUGAUUAUAGGGAUAGCCAUGGGCCAGACUGCAACCCACACAUGGGCACCCAGUAAGCGCUGCCCAGGAAGGAGACAGAAGGGGGACUAUGCUGGGUUAGACAGUGUCCCCUUAAGUUCAUGUCCACCUGGAACCUGUGUUUAUGACCUUAUGUGGAAAAAGGGUCUUUGCAGAUGUAAUAAAUUAAAAUGAAGUCAUACUGGAUUAUGGUGGACGCUAAUCCAGUGAUUGGUGCCCUUAUAAAAUGGCCAUGUGAAGAUGGGUGCAGAGAUUGGAGUGAUGCAUCUACAAGCCGAGGAUUACUGGCAACCACCAGAAGCUGGAAGAAACAAGGAAGGAUUCUUCCCUAGAGCCCCUGGAAGGAGACUGGCCCUGCUGACACCUGGAUUUUAGACCUCUGGACUCCAGAAGAACGAAGUCCAAGGAAAGUGGGGAAGAGAGGUCUCCUAAAAAUUCCCUGAGUGAGAGAGGAGGAAUACUGGCCCUGGGCUAACAUCUGUGCCCAUCUUCCUCCACUUUAUAUGGGACGCCACCACAGCAUGGCUUGACAGGCGGUGCGUUGGUGCUCGCCAGGGAUCGGAACCCGGGCCGCCAGCAGCAGAGUGCGCGCACUUAACCGCUACGCCACGGAGCCAGCCCCUACCAGUGAUUUCUUAACCCCAGUCUUAAAACAGUCCCG